rnacentral:lncRNA from 1 species
CAAGCCUUUACAUGCACAACAAUCCUGCAGAUACCUCAUUUCAGUGAUGUUGUAGAGAGAAAAUGUUGGCAUACAAGUGAGGUGUGUUUGAAACAAUUACACUAUAAUAAAUGAUUAUAAACAGAUACAGAAGAAUUUGACAGGCC